rnacentral:rRNA from 1 species
AUACGUAGGUGGCAAGCGUUGUCCGGAUUUAUUGGGCGUAAAGCGAGCGCAGGCGGUUCUUUAAGUCUGAUGUGAAAGCCCCCGGCUCAACCGGGGAGGGUCAUUGGAAACUGGAGGACUUGAGUGCAGAAGAGGAGAGUGGAAUUCCAUGUGUAGCGGUGAAAUGCGUAGAUAGAUGGAGGAACACCAGUGGCGAAGGCGGCUCUCUGGUCUGUAACUGACGCUGAGGCUCGAAAGCGUGGGGAGCAAACAGGAUUAGAUACCAUGGUAGUCCACGCUGUAAACGAUGAGUGCUAAGUGUUGGAGGGUUUCCGCCCUUCAGUGCUGCAGCUAACGCAUUAAGCACUCCGCCUGGGGAGUACGGCCGCAAGGCUGAAACUCAAAGGAAUUGACGGGG